GAGUUUGAUUCUGGCUCAGAUUGAACGCUGGCGGCAUGCUUUACACAUGCAAGUCGAACGGCAGCACAGGGAGCUUGCUCCUGGGUGGCGAGUGGCGAACGGGUGAGUAAUGUAUCGGAACGUGCCUGGUAGUGGGGGAUAACUACUCGAAAGAGUGGCUAAUACCGCAUGAGAUCUUUGGAUGAAAGCGGGGGACCUUCGGGCCUCGUGCUACUGGAGCGGCCGAUAUCAGAUUAGGUUGUUGGUGGGGUAAAGGCCUACCAAGCCUGCGAUCUGUAGCUGGUCUGAGAGGACGACCAGCCACACUGGGACUGAGACACGGCCCAGACUCCUACGGGAGGCAGCAGUGGGGAAUUUUGGACAAUGGGCGCAAGCCUGAUCCAGCAAUGCCGCGUGCAGGACGAAGGCCUUCGGGUUGUAAACUGCUUUUGUACAGAACGAA
rnacentral:rRNA from 1 species